UGGGAGUAAGGUCAAAUCAAGAAAGAACCCUCUUCAAAAAAUUUUGGAGGAUCUUUUUGCCACACCACCUUCUGCUAUGACUAGUAGUCAACAAGGACAACACCUUUCGCCAAUCCUUGAACAAAGCACUCCACAAUCUAUGGAUUCCACAAAAAUUGAAACGCCAAAAAGGACAAAGCAAACAUUUAGGGGUCGUUUUUACCUUUACCAUCGUGCACCUCAACCCCUUAUAAUGGCAACCCAAAACAGAUAGGUCA